UGUGUAUGUAGCAGACUUUACUGAAGAUUUGGAGAGAUGAAGGGGUUUUACAUAGCAAAAAUACAAAAAAAACUGAAGGUUGAGUAUUAGACAUCCAUGAGCUGAAGAAGACUCAGCCACUUCUACCAAUGGGGCUCCCGCCUUCUACGAAGGCACCUGACCACCUCUCCCUGCUGUUUCUCAGGAAGCUGAAUGAAAGCCAGAUUUCCUGACAGUUUCUUAGAGUAUUUUAGUCCUCCAUUUGCUCUGCCCUCCCCCCCUUUUUUUUUUUUUUUUUUUUUUUUUGAGAUAGGGCCCUGCUCUGUUGCCCAGGCUGGAGUGCAAUGAUGUAAUCUCAGCUCACUGCAUUCCUGACCUCCUGUGCUCAAGCGAUCCUCCCACCUCAGCCUCCCAAGUCACUGGGACUACAAGAGCACGCCACCAUGCCCUGCUAAUUUUUCUAUUUUUUUGUAGAGAUGGGGUUUUGCCAUGUUGCCCAGGCUGGGCUCAAGUGAUCCUCCCGCCUCAGCCUCCCAAAGUGCUGGGAUUACAGGUGUGAGCCACAGCACCCGGUCUGUCUUUCCUUUCUAGACCUUCCCUUGGGACCUCUUUCUCCCCUUAAUGGGCCACAAAGUUAUCUCCCCGAUUUAGAACACUCCCUCCCCUUUCCUGACACCCAGAUGAGGACGAAAAUCUAAAAGCACAACCUUGCACGGGGCAGUUUUCGCUAAACCAAGACUCAAGGUCUUCUCCUCACCUUCUUUGAGGGACAUUAGAGCUUUUUUUCUCUAAAAAUAAGUAUGCGUGCAUGUGCGUGUGUUUUAGGGGCAGGAAGGGCGGAGUCAGGGGACAUUUUUACACACCCACAUUUCACAUGACUUGUAAGAGGUCAAUUCAAUCACUGGCCUGGCUUAACUUUAAGUUCUUUUUUUUUUUUUUUUUUCUUUGGGAGACAGAGUUUCGUUCUUGUUGCCCAGGCUGGAGUGCAGUGGCGCGGUCUCGGCUCACUGCAACCUC
rnacentral:lncRNA from 10 species